ensembl:miRNA
UGGUCACUGCCAGUGCUGAGACAUUAAAGAUCCAGGCCCCACGGAGAACCAGGGCACCUGGACUUUGAUCUUGCCAGAAUAGUAUGCCU